UGUAGGCUGAAACUCGCCUACAUGAAGCUGGAAUUGCUAGUAAUCACAGGUCAGCAUACUGUGGUGAAUACGUUCCCGGGCCUUGUACACACCGCCCGUCACACCAUGAGAGUUGAGAAUACCCGAAGCCCAUGUCAAAGUGGUCGAAGGUAGGCUUGAUGAUUGGGGUGAAGUCGUAACAAGGUAGC
rnacentral:rRNA from 1 species